rnacentral:tRNA from 1 species
CGGGAUGUAGCGUAGCCUGGUAUCGCGCCAGCAUGGGGUGCUGGAAUUCGUAGGUUCAAAUCCUGCCAUCCCGA